rnacentral:rRNA from 1 species
UACGGGGGGGGCAAGCGUGGUUCGGAAUUACUGGGCGUAAAGGGCUCGUAGGCGGCCAACUAAGUCCGACGUGAAAUCCCAAGGCUUAACCUUGGAACUGCGUCGGAUACUGGAUGGCUUGAAUUCGGGAGAGGGAUGCAGAAUUCCAGGUGUAGCGGUGAAAUGCGUAGAUAUCUGGAGGAAUACCGGUGGCGAAGGCGGCAUCCUGGACCGGCAUUGACGCUGAGGAGCGAAAGCUAGGGGAGCAAACGGG